GACGGAGGGCGCGAACGUUGUUCGGAAUCACUGGGCGUAAAGGGCGCGUAGGCGGACCGGUAAGUCAGACGUGAAAUCCCGGGGCUCAACUCCGGGUCUGCGUUUGAAACUGUCGGUCUAGAGUGCAGGAGAGGAAGGCGGAAUUCCAGGUGUAGCGGUGGAAUGCGUAGAUAUCUGGAAGAACACCAGUGGCGAAGGCGGCCUUCUGGACUGACACUGACGCUGAGGCGCGAAAGCUAGGGGAGCAAACAGG
rnacentral:rRNA from 1 species